rnacentral:rRNA from 1 species
GUGAGGAAUUUUCCGCAAUGGGCGAAAGCCUGACGGAGCAAUGCCGCGUGAAGGAUGAAGGCCUAUGGGUUGUAAACUUCUUUUCUCAGAAAAGAAUUAUGACGGUAUCUGAGGAAUAAGCAUCGGCUAACUCUGUGCCAGCAGCCGCGGUAAGACAGAGGAUGCAAGCGUUAUCCGGAAUGAUUGGGCGUAAAGCGUCUGUAGGUUGUUUAAAAAGUAUUCUGUCAAAGAUUAGGGCUUAACCCUAGAUAGGCAGAAUAAACUUUUAAGCUAGAGUUUGGUAGAGGCAGAGGGAAUUCCCGGUGGAGCGGUGAAAUGCGUAGAUAUCGGGAGGAACACCAAAGGCGAAGGCACUCUGCUGGGCCAAUACUAACACUGAGAGACGAAAGCGAGGGGAGCAAAUGGGAUUAGAAACCCCGGUAGUCC